AUCGAGAAAACCUAAAACUGAUAAAAAUCCUACAAUUGAAGGUACAGUAAUCAAACAGAUGGCAAAUCAAUCAUGAAAUCAUAUUAAAUAUAUUUAAUUACCUAAUCAUAAUGGAAAAAUAUAUCUAAACAUUAAUCCUAUGACAUGUUUCUAAUUAGAUCCAAAACACUAAUUGGUAAAAUAUCAUAUUUCAAAAUCCUAGAGUUCUUAUCAUCAUAUUCAAAAUCCAAUUAAUAUGCAUAUUCACACAAAUCCUAAUCUAAU
rnacentral:lncRNA from 1 species